ACAAGAGAGUAAUCAGCAAAUAUAUGACUUCGUAUCAACUAAAAGCACUUUACAGAAGAGGAGAGACUCCGGGCGACAGAUUUCCUACGGCAGUACUUUCCUAAGUGUACUAAGAUUGUCUUUCUAAAGAUGUUUGAAAGGAGAACAGCCUUGGAUGACAGAGAUAGUGUCUUCCUCCAGAGCACAUACUCCCUAGUCACAGAUUCCUCCCUCUGACACAACCCGAAGCCUGAAUCACCUGGCCUUCUUCGAGCCACCCUGUGGGACUUGGGGCUUGGAAAAUAAGAGCAACAUUGAUUCUUUGGCUACUACUAUUGCUGUGAGUAAUAAAGUCCUUUGUUUCCAA